rnacentral:rRNA from 1 species
UCCCAGACUCCUACGGGAGGCAGCAGUGGGGAAUAUUGCACAAUGGGGGAAACCCUGAUGCAGCGACGCCGCGUGAGUGAAGAAGUAUUUCGGUAUGUAAAGCUCUAUCAGCAGGGAAGAAAAUGACGGUACCUGACUAAGAAGCCCCGGCUAACUACGUGCCAGCAGCCGCGGUAAUACGUAGGGGGCAAGCGUUAUCCGGAUUUACUGGGUGUAAAGGGAGCGUAGACGGCAUGGCAAGUCAGAUGUGAAAGCCCGGGGCUCAACCCCGGGACUGCAUUUGAAACUGUCAGGCUGGAGUGCAGGAGAGGUAAGUGGAAUUCCUAGUGUAGCGGUGGAAUGCGUAGAUAUUAGGAGGAACAUCAGUGGCGAAGGCGACUUUCUGGACUGUAACUGACGCUGAGGCACGAAAGUGUGGGGAGCAAACAGGAUUAGAUACCCUCGUAAC